rnacentral:rRNA from 1 species
UACAUAUCAAUAAGCGGAGGAAAAGAAACUAACAAGGAUUCCCCUAGUAACUGCGAGUGAAGCGGGAAAAGCUCAAAUUUGAAAUCUGGCAGUCCUUUGGCUGUCCGAGUUGUAAUCUAGAGAAGUGUUACCCGCGUUGGACCGUGUAUAAGUCUCCUGGAAUGGAGCGUCAUAGAGGGUGAGAAUCCCGUCUUUGACACGGACUGCCAAGGCCUUUGUGGUGCGCUCUCAAAGAGUCGAGUUGUUUGGGAAUGCAGCUCAAAAUGGGUGGUAAAUGCCAUCUAAAGCUAAAUACAGGCGAGAGACCGAUAGCGAACAAGUACCGUGAGGGAAAGAUGAAAAGAACUUUGGAAAGAGAGUUAAACAGUACGUGAAAUUGCUGAAAGGGAAACGCUUGAAGUCAGUCGCAUUGGCUGGGAAUCAACCUUGCUCUUGCUGGGUGUACUUUCUGGUCGAUGGGUCAGCAUCAAUUUUGAUCACUGGAUAAAGUCAUUGGGAAUGUGGCAUCUUCGGAUGUGUUAUAGCCUUUUGUCGCAUACAGUGGUUGGGAUUGAGGAACUCAGCACGCCGCAAGGCCGGGUUUCGACCACGUUCGUGCUUAGGAUGCUGGCAUAAUGGCUUUAAUCGACCCGUCUUGAAACACGGACCAAGGAGUCUAACAUGCCUGCGAGUGUUUGGGUGGAAAACCCGAGCGCGUAAUGAAAGUGAAAGUUGAGAUCCCUGUCGUGGGGAGCAUCGACGCCCGGACCAGACCUGUUGUGACGGAUCCGCGGUAGAGCAUGUGUGUUGGGACCCGAAAGAUGGUGAACUAUGCCUGAAUAGGGUGAAGCCAGAGGAAACUCUGGUGGAGGCUCGUAGCGAUUCUGACGUGCAAAUCGAUCGUCAAAUUUGGGUAUAGGGGCGAAAGACUAAUCGAACCAUCUAGUAGCUGGUUCCUGCCGAA